GACGAACGCUGGCGGCGUGCUUAACACAUGCAAGUCGAACGGAAAGGCCCUGCUUUUGUGGGGUGCUCGAGUGGCGAACGGGUGAGUAACACGUGAGUAACCUGCCCUUGACUUUGGGAUAACUUCAGGAAACUGGGGCUAAUACCGGAUAGGAGCUCCUGCUGCAUGGUGGGGGUUGGAAAGUUUCGGCGGUUGGGGAUGGACUCGCGGCUUAUCAGCUUGUUGGUGGGGUAGUGGCUUACCAAGGCUUUGACGGGUAGCCGGCCUGAGAGGGUGACCGGCCACAUUGGGACUGAGAUACGGCCCAGACUCCUACGGGAGGCAGCAGUGGGGAAUAUUGCACAAUGGGCGGAAGCCUGAUGCAGCAACGCCGCGUGCGGGAUGACGGCCUUCGGGUUGUAAACCGCUUUCGCCUGUGACGAAGCGUGAGUGACGGUAAUGGGUAAAGAAGCACCGGCUAACUACGUGCCAGCAGCCGCGGUGAUACGUAGGGUGCGAGCGUUGUCCGGAUUUAUUGGGCGUAAAGGGCUCGUAGGUGGUUGAUCGCGUCGGAAGUGUAAUCUUGGGGCUUAACCCUGAGCGUGCUUUCGAUACGGGUUGACUUGAGGAAGUUAGGGGAGAAUGGAAUUCCUGGUGGAGCGGUGGAAUGCGCAGAUAUCAGGAGGAACACCAGUGGCGAAGGCGGUUCUCUGGGCCUUUCCUGACGCUGAGGAGCGAAAGCGUGGGGAGCGAACAGGCUUAGAUACCCUGGUAGUCCACGCUGUAAACGGUGGGUACUAGGUGUGGGGUCCAUUCCACGGGUUCCGUGCCGUAGCUAACGCUUUAAGUACCCCGCCUGGGGAGUACGGCCGCAAGGCUAAAACUCAAAGGAAUUGACGGGGCCCCACACAAGCGGCGGAGCAUGCGGAUUAAUUCGAUGCAACGCGUAGAACCUUACCUGGGUUUGACAUGGAUCGGGAGCGCUCAGAGAUGGGUGUGCCUCUUUUGGGGUCGGUUCACAGGUGGUGCAUGGCUGUCGUCAGCUCGUGUCGUGAGAUGUUGGGUUAAGUCCCGCAACGAGCGCAACCCUUGUUCACUGUUGCCAGCACGUUAUGGUGGGGACUCAGUGGAGACCGCCGGGGUCAACUCGGAGGAAGGUGGGGAUGACGUCAAGUCAUCAUGCCCCUUAUGUCCAGGGCUUCACGCAUGCUACAAUGGCUGGUACAGAGAGUGGCGAGCCUGUGAGGGUGAGCGAAUCUCGGAAAGCCGGUCUCAGUUCGGAUUGGGGUCUGCAACUCGACCUCAUGAAGUCGGAGUCGCUAGUAAUCGCAGAUCAGCAACGCUGCGGUGAAUACGUUCCCGGGGCU
rnacentral:rRNA from 1 species